rnacentral:rRNA from 1 species
CCUACGGAAGGCUGCAGUGGGGAAUAUUGGACAAUGGGCGAAAGCCUGAUCCAGCCAUGCCGCGUGUGUGAAGAAGGCCUUCGGGUUGUAAAGCACUUUCAGUGGGGAAGAAAGCCUUGGGGCUAAUACCCUCGAGGAAGGACAUCACCCACAGAAGAAGCACCGGCUAACUCCGUGCCAGCAGCCGCGGUAAUACGGAGGGUGCGAGCGUUAAUCGGAAUUACUGGGCGUAAAGCGCGCGUAGGCGGUCUGAUAAGCCGGUUGUGAAAGCCCCGGGCUCAACCUGGGAACGGCAUCCGGAACUGUCAGGCUAGAGUGCAGGAGAGGAAGGUAGAAUUCCCGGUGUAGCGGUGAAAUGCGUAGAGAUCGGGAGGAAUACCAGUGGCGAAGGCGGCCUUCUGGACUGACACUGACGCUGAGGUGCGAAAGCGUGGGUAGCAAACAGGAUUAGAUACCCCGGUAGUC